rnacentral:rRNA from 1 species
UACGUAGGGUGCGAGCGUUGUCCGGAAUUAUUGGGCGUAAAGGGCUCGUAGGCGGUUUGUCGCGUCGGGAGUGAAAACCAGGUGCUUAACACCUGGCUUGCUUUCGAUACGGGCAGACUAGAGGCAUGCAGGGGAGAACGGAAUUCCUGGUGUAGCGGUGAAAUGCGCAGAUAUCAGGAGGAACACCGGUGGCGAAGGCGGUUCUCUGGGCAUGUCCUGACGCUGAGGAGCGAAAAUGUGGGGAGCGAACAGG